GGUAAAUGUGGGUCUAUUGGGUGUAUAGGGGGCUUGGCUGAGGGAAGGGUGGAUCUCUAAGGUCUGUAUGGGGUUGGGCUGAGGUAAAUGUGGGUCUAUUGGGUGGCUAUGAAGCUGGGCUAAGGUAAAUAUGGGUCUAUUGGGUGGCUAUGGGGCUGGGCUGAGGUGAAUGUGAUCUAUAGUGUCUUCAUGUGCAUGGGAUUGAAACAAACACAGUCCUAUAGAGCAUCUGGGGGGUCAGAACUGAGGCAAAAGCAGUUCUGUAGGAAUACUAUAGGUCCAGAUGGAAAUAAAGGUGGAUCUAUAGGGUGUCUGUGGGCCUGGGCUGGGGUACAGAUGGCUCUAUCAGGUGUCUAUGUCGCUGGGUUGGGAUACAAGUGGCUCUAUAGGGUAUUUGUGGGGCUGGGCUGGGUACAGAUGGGUCUAUAGGGUGUUUAUAGGGCUGGGCUGAGGC